rnacentral:rRNA from 1 species
UACGGAGGGGGCUAGCGUUGUUCGGAAUUACUGGGUGUAAAGCGCACGUAGGCGGCUUUGUAAGUUAGAGGUGAAAGCCUGGAGCUCAACUCCAGAAUUGCCUUUAAGACUGCAUCGCUUGAAUCCAGGAGAGGUGAGUGGAAUUCCGAGUGUAGAGGUGAAAUUCGUAGAUAUUCGGAAGAACACCAGUGGCGAAGGCGGCUCACUGGACUGGUAUUGACGCUGAGGCACGACAGCGUGGGGAGCAAACAGG